UGGUGGAGUGAUUUGUCUGCUUAAUUGCGAUAACGAACGAGACCUUGACCUGCUAAAUAGCCCGUAUUGCUUUGGCAGUACGCUGGCUUCUUAGAGGGACUUUCGGCUCAAGCCGAAGGAAGUUCGAGGCAAUAACA
rnacentral:rRNA from 1 species